UACGGGGGGUGCGAGCGUUGUCCGGAAUCACUGGGCGUAAAGGGCGCGUAGGUGGUGUCGUAAGUCUGCGGUGAAAGCCUGGGGCUCAACCCCAGGUCUGCCGCGGAUACUGCGAGACUCGAGUACUGUAGGGGCUGGUAGAAUGCCGGGUGUAGCGGUGGAAUGCGCAGAUAUCAGGAGGAACACCGAUGGCGAAGGCAGGUCUCUGGGCAUUAACUGACGCUGAGGAGCGAAAGCAUGGGGAGCGAACAGG
rnacentral:rRNA from 1 species